rnacentral:tRNA from 1 species
GCCGCGGUGGCGGAACUGGUAGACGCGCAGCUCUCAAAAAGCUGUGAAGUUCACUCUUCAUGAGAGUUCGAUUCUCUCCCGCGGCA